rnacentral:rRNA from 1 species
AACCAGUACCGUGAGGGAAAGGCGAAAAGAACCCCGGCGAGGGGAGUGAAAAAGAACCUGAAACCGUGUACGUACAAGCAGUGGGAGCACCUUCGGGUGUGACUGCGUACCUUUUGUAUAAUGGGUCAGCGACUUAUAUUCUGUAGCAAGGUUAACCGUAUAGGGGAGCCGCAGGGAAACCGAGUCUUAACUGGGCGUUAAGUUGCAGGGUAUAGACCCGAAACCCGGUGAUCUAGCCAUGGGCAGGUUGAAGGUUGGGUAACACUAACUGGAGGACCGAACCGACUAAUGUUGAAAAAUUAGCGGAUGACUUGUGGCUGGGGGUGAAAGGCCAAUCAAACCGGGAGAUAGCUGGUUCUCCCCGAAAGCUAUUUAGGUAGCGCCUCGUGAAUUCAUCUUCGGGGGUAGAGCACUGUUUCGGCUAGGGGGUCAUCCCGACUUACCAACCCGAUGCAAACUACGAAUACCGAAGAAUGUUAUCACGGGAGACACACGGCGGGUGCUAACGUCCGUCGUGAAGAGGGAAACAACCCAGACCGCCAGCUAAGGUCCCAAAGUCAUGGUUAAGUGGGAAACGAUGUGGGAAGGCACAGACAGCCAGGAUGUUGGCUUAGAAGCAGCCAUCAUUUAAAGAAAGCGUAAUAGCUCACUGGUCGAGUCGGCCUGCGCGGAAGAUGUAACGGGGCUAAACCAUGCACCGAAGCUGCGGCAGCGACACUAUGUGUUGUUGGGUAGGGGAGCGUUCUGUAAGCCUGCGAAGGUGACCUGUGAGGGUUGCUGGAGGUAUCAGAAGUGCGAAUGCUGACAUAAGUAACGAUAAAGCGGGUGAAAAGCCCGCUCGCCGGAAGACCAAGGGUUCCUGUCCAACGUUAAUCGGGGCAGGGUGAGUCGACCCCUAAGGCGAGGCCGAAAGGCGUAGUCGAUGGGAAACAGGUUAAUAUUCCUGUACUUGGUGUUACUGCGAAGGGGGG